ACUGAGUGGCAAACGGGUGAGUAUAAUGUGGGAAUCUGCCUUUUGGUUUGGAAUAACACGAGGAAACUUGUGCUAAUACCGAAUAAGCCUUUACAGGGAAAGUUUUAACGCCGAAAGAUGAGCCCGCACUUGAUUAGCUAGUUGGUAAGGUAAAAGCUUACCAAGGCAAUGAUCAAUAGCUGUUCUUAGAGGAAGACCAGCCACAUUGGGACUGAGACACGGCCCAAACUCCUACGGGAGGCAGCAGUGGGGAAUCUUGCACAAUGGGGGAAACCCUGAUGCAGCGAUGCCGCGUGAGUGAAGAAGGCCUUUGGGUUGUAAAACUCUUUCGUCGGGGAAGAAAAUGACUGUACCCGAAUAAGAAGGUCCGGCUAACUUCGUGCCAGCAGCCGCGGUAAUACGAAGGGACCUAGCGUAGUUCGGAAUUACUGGGCUUAAAGAGCUCGUAGGUGGUUAAAAUAGUUGAUGGUGAAAUCCCA
rnacentral:rRNA from 1 species